UACGUAGGGGGCAAGCGUUGUCCGGAAUCAUUGGGCGUAAAGCGUCCGCAGGUGGCCAUGUAAGUCUGCUGUCAAAGCGUCUGGCUCAACCAGAUAAAGGCAGUGGAAACUACAUAGCUAGAGUAAGGUAGGGGUAGAGGGAAUUCCUGGUGUAGCGGUGAAAUGCGCAGAUAUCAGGAGGAACACCGGUGGCGAAGGCGGUUCUCUGGGCAUUACCUGACGCUGAGGAGCGAAAGUGUGGGGAGCGAACAGG
rnacentral:rRNA from 1 species